rnacentral:rRNA from 1 species
UACGUAGGGAGCAAGCGUUGUUCGGAUUACUGGGCGUAAAGGGCGCGUAGGCGGCGCUGUAAGUCACUUGUGAAAUCUCUGAGCUUAACUCAGAACGGCCAAGUGAUACUGCAGUGCUAGAGUGCAGAAGGGGCAAUCGGAAUUCUUGGUGUAGCGGUGAAAUGCGUAGAUAUCAAGAGGAACACCUGAGGUGAAGACGGGUUGCUAGGCUGACACUGACGCUGAGGCGCGAAAGCUAGGGGAGCAAACGGG